UUUUUUUUUUUUUUUUGGCCACACCCACAGCACACAGAAGUCUGGGCCAGGGAUCAAACAUAUACCAAAGCUGUAACCAGAGCCGCAGAAGUGACAAUACCAGAUUCUUAACCUUCUGAGUCACCAGGGGACUCCUUGGUGAGGAUUUUUGGGAUCUGACACCAAAAGCAAAGUCAAAAAAGGCAAAAAUAAAAAAAGCACAAUGGCAUCAAACUGAAAAGCUCCUUGCAUAGCCAAGGAAACUAUCAACAAAAUGGAAUGUCAAUCUACUGAAUGUGAGAGAAUACUUGCAAAUCAAAAAUAUAAGGACUUAAUAUCCAAAGUAUGUGAAGAAAUCAUACAACUCAAUAGCAAAAAAGCAAACAAUCUGAUUAAAAAAUGAAUAGAGGCUUUGAACAGACAUUUUCCCAAAGAUAUACAAAUGACCAACAGGUACAUGGAAAGGCACUCAACAUCAGUGAUCAUUGAAAAAAUGCCAAUCGAAACCACAGUGAAGAAUCCCUUCACCCCUGUUAGAUGGCUAUUAUCAAAACACAGCAAAUGACAAGUAUUUGAGAGGAUGUGGAGACAAGGGAACCCUUGCACACUGUUGGUGGGAAUGUCACUUGUAGCCACUACAAAAAAUAGUAUGGAGUUUCCUCAAAAAAAUUAAAAAUAGAAUAUACAAUUCAGCAAUUCCAUUCCUGGGUACAUAUCCAAAGAAAACAAAAAAAAAGUAAUUUGACAAGGUACAUGCACCCCAAUGUUCAUAGCAUUAUUUAAAAUUGUCAAGGGAGUUCCCAUUGUAGCUCAGCAGGAAGAAACCCAACUAGCAUCCAUGAAGAUGCGGUUCGAUCCCUGCCCUCACUCAGUACGUUAAGGAUCCCUCGUUGUCGUGAGCUGUGGUGUAGGUCGCAGAAUCAGUUCAGGUCCUGCAUUGCUGUGCCUGUGGCACAGGCCAGCCACUGUAGCUCCAAUUCGACCCCUAGCCUGGGAACUUCGAUAUGCCACAGGUAUGGGCCUAAAAAGCAAAAAAUUAAAAAUAAAAAUAAAAUUUUCAAGACAUGGAAGCAAACUUUGCCACUUGCAACAACAUGGAUGGGCCGGGAGGGUAUUAGGCUUAGUGAUUAAGUCAGGGAAAGACAAAUAUCGUAGGUUACCACUUACAUGUGCAAUCUAAAAAAUAAAGCAAAAAAUGAAUAUAACCAAACAGAAACAGACUCGCAAAGAACGAAGUAGCGGUCACCAGUGGAGAGAAGUGGUCACCAGUGGAGAGAGAGCAGGGGGGGAGGGAAAGCUAGAGGGAGGGAAUUAAGCAGCACAAAGGACUACGUAUGAAAUAAAUAAGCACAAGGAUAUCUUGUACCGCACAGGGAAUACAGCCGAUAAUUUAUAAUAACUUUAAAUGGAGUAUAAUCUACUAAAAGUUUGAAUCACCAGGUUGUAUACCUGAAACUAAUAUUGUACAUCACCUACACUUCAACUGAAGUAUUUAAAAAUAAAUAAAUAAAUAACAAAACAAAAUAAAUCCGAAUUCAUAGAUACAGAGAACCAGGGGUUGCCAAAGGCAGCGGGUGAGGGGUUGGGGUGUGUGUGUGUGUGUGUGUGUGUGUGUGUGUGAAAUGGGUAAAGGCAAUCAAACACAUAAACUUUCAGUUACAUACAAUGUACAGCAUGGUGACUAUACUUAGUAAUAACUGUACUGCAUAUUUGAAAGCUGCUAAAAGAGUAAAACAUAAAAGUCAUCAUCACAAGAAAAAAGUAUUUUAACUAUGCAUGAUGAGGGACACUAACUAGAUUUAUUGUGGUGAUCAUUUUGGAAUAUAUACAAAUAUUGAGUCACUACGCUGUACACCUGAAACUAAUAGUGUCAUACGUCAAUUGUCUCUCAUUUUUUAAAAAUGUUCAGGCUUAAGAAAAAAGAAAAGAUCUCAAAUCAACAGCCUAACUUCACAAUCCAAGGAGCUAGAAAAAGAACAAACUGAAUCAAUAGCGAGCAGAAUGAAGGAAACAGUGAAGAGGUUUAAGAAAAUGAUUCUAGGAGUUUCCUUCGUGACUAAGUGGUUAAUAAACCCAAGUAGCAUCCAUGAGGAUGCGGGUUCGAUCCCUGGCCUUGAUCAGUGGGGUAAGGACCUCGUGUUGCCCUGAGCUGUGGUGUAGGUUGCAGAUGUGGCUCAGAUCCAGCAUUGCUGUGGCCGUGGUGUAGGCUGGCAGCUGUAGCUUCGAUUGGACGCCUAGCCCGGGAAUCUCCGUGUGCUGUGGGCGCAGCCCUAAAAAAAUAAAAAUAAAAAUAAAAAAAAAGAAAGGAAAAGGAAGAAAGAAAGAAAGAAAAGAAAAGCAAAGAAAAGAAAAGAAAAGAAUAGAAAAGAAAAGAAAACAAUUCUAUCUAAAUAGCAACACAUUUUUUUAAGGAAUUGACCAAGGAAGUGAAAGACUUGUACAAUGAAAACUACAAAACACUGCUGAAAGAAAUUUAAAAAGACAUAACUAGAUGGAAAGAUAUCUAGUGUUCACUGAAUGGAAGACAUUCAAUUUUAAUCAUUUUUAUUUUUUCCAUUAUAGUUAAAGUGCCCUGUCAAUUUCUACUGUACAACAAAGUGACUCAGUCUCACAUAUAUAUACAUUCUUCUUCUCACAUUAUCCUCAUCAUGCUCCAUUACAAGUGACUAGAUAUAGUUCCCUGUGCUAUACAGCAGGAUCUCAUUGCUUAUCCACUCCAAAUGCAAUAGCUUGCAUCUAUUAACCCCAGAUUCCCAGUCUAUCCCACUCUCUCCCCCUCCCCUUCAGCAACGACAAGUCUGUUGUUAAGACGUUGUUGAUAGAACCACGAUAAUCUACAAGUGCAAUGUGUAAUCCCUUCCAAAAUCUCAAUGGUAUUCUUUGUGGAAUUAGAAAAAAAAAUUCAUACUAAAAUUCAUAUAGAAUGUCAAGGGAUCCUGAAAAGCCAAGACAAUCUUGAAAAGACAAAGUUGGAAGACUUGUAGUUCUUGAUUUCAAAGCUUACUACAAAGCCACAAUAAUCAAAACAAUGCGGUACUGGUAUAAAGAGAGCAUAUAGGCCAAUGAAACAGAGAGCCAGAAAUAAACUCUUACAAGUAUGGUCAAAGAAUUUCCAACAGAUGUGCUAGGAUAGUCUUUUCAACAAAUAUGCUGGUGCUGGGGAAACUGGUAUCCGCAUGCAAAAGAAUAAAGUUGGACUCAACACCAUAUACAAAAAUUAAGUAAAAACGAACCAAAAUACCCAAAUCUAAGAAAACUAAUAUGUUAGAAGAAAACAUACAGAAAAGCUUCAUGACAUCAGAUUUGGUGAUGAUUUCUUGUCUAUCACACCAAAGGUACAGGCAACAAUGAAAAUAGACAAACUGGACUUCAUUGAACUAGAAACUUUUAGAUAUCAAAGAACACAAUCAACAGAUUAAAAAAUGCAACUCCCAAAAUGGAAGAAAGUAUUUAUAAAUCACAUAUCUGAUAAGGGAUUAAUACUCAGAAUAUACAGAAAACUGCUAGCACUCAAUCAAAACAAAAACAAACAAACAAAAAAAACCAAACAAGUUUUGGGGAAAGGUAACCAGUGAAACGUACCCUGAGAGGGAAAGUAAGAUGGUGCAGCUGCCAGGGAAACAGUAUAGUGGUUCUUCAAAAACUUAAAAGUAGGGAAUUCCCAUUGUGGCGCAGUGGUUAACGAAUCCGACUAGGAACCAUGAGGUUGCAGGUUCGGUCCCUGCCCUUGCUCAGUGGGUUAAGGAUCUGGUGUUGCCAUGAGCUGUGGUGUAGGUUGCAGACGCGGCUCGAUCCCGUGUUGCUGUGGCUCUGUGUAGGCCGGUGGCUACAGCUCUGAUUCGACCCCUAGCCUGGGAACCUUCAUAUGCCACG
rnacentral:lncRNA from 1 species